UGCAUAAACAAAUCUUACAUAAAACGGGUCAACCCAUGACCCGGGAUUAACCUCUUAAACCCUUCUGCUCCCCCUUUCCUUCCAUUCUCUUUUACACAGAACUUCCAAGUGAUCGCCGCUAGUCAGUUGUCUGAGAAUGAGUUCACUCGCCGCUAAACUUGCUAAGUCAUUAAGAGUCUCUGUCCCUACUACGCCCUUCUCUACUCUAGGGGUGGGUGUGCAAAGGAGCUCAAUGAUGUGGUAUUCAAGUGAGUCUCUUGAUGGCAAAGAUGGUCAGAAGAGUGAUGAAAUUGAAGAAGAGUUUGAUGAUUAUCUUGAUGUAAAGCCUGAGUUACAACCCCAAGGUGUGGAUCCAAAAAGGGGUUGGAAUUUCCGCGGUGUGCAUAAGGCAAUUAUUUGUGGAAGAGUUAAAGAAUCUCCUGUGCAAAAAAUAUUGAGAAAUGGCCGAACUGUAACCAUCUUUUCAGUUGGAACGGGGGGAAUGUUUGACCAAAGACAGGUAGGAGCAAAAGACUUGCCGAAACCUGCCCAGUGGCAUAGAAUUGCUGUGCAUAAUGAAUCACUUGGGGCUUAUGCAGUUCAACAACUUGCUAAAAACUCUUCAGUUUAUGUUGAGGGUGACAUUGAAACCAGAGUUUACAAUGACAGCAUUAAUGGUGAAGUUAAGAAUGUCCCAGAGAUAUGUGUUCGUAAUGAUGGAACAAUUCGCCUUGUAAAGACUGGGGAAAGCAUCAGCAGUAUAUCCUUUGAGGAUUUACGAGAAGGAUUGCUUUAGCUGAAAGUCAGUAGACACAUUGUGGAAAAGUUAUUUGUGGAAAGUGAAAGCAGCUGGAGCUUCUAACUUUUAUCCUAUUAUUGUCGACUUUCAAGAGGCUCUGCGAUGCUUGGUGGAUGACCAGAUGGUGUUUGCAGUCAUUUGAUAUUUUUGACACAUUCAGUCAUGACCGUUGCUUUAAUUGUUGCUGUAUCUGUCCUAUGGUGUUUUCUGUUUUACUUGCUAUAUUGGGUGACUGUCACUGUUUCUUUUGUUAAUCAUUGCGCUCUUCAGGUAUAUUGAAACCAGACUAAUGACUGAAUUAUUGUACGACAGACAAGCAAGCUUUGUAGUUUAAUAUUCAAUAACAGAUUCAGUUGGGCAACUUGUUAGUUUAUUAUUCGAUAACAGUAUCAGUUGGGCAACUUGGUAGUUUAUUAUUCGAUAA